rnacentral:ncRNA from 1 species
AGAUAAUCCCAGGCAACUGGGGAAAGGUUGAAUCCGGCUGGUGGGUCCAACCCCUCUAAGUCCGUUCCGCAAGGAGCGGAGACCGGAGGCACAAUUCACCGGUUCCUCUGGCGGCGUUCGCGCGCCGUCAGUAACGCGAAAAGGAACUGAGCGGCCAGGAACGCGAAAUGGUUCCGCGCCGAGUCAAGUAUUCCAGGCAGGUUUCGGGCCUGGAGGAAUCGCAGUUACCCGGAGGGUAACGGUUGCUACUGUGGAUCAGCACGGAAAGAGCGGCCCGCCCGGCCUCCAACCAGGCCGAAAGACGCCGAAAGGCGGGACAAAGCGGGUGCUCCCACCGGGAAGAACAGCAGGCCCAGGCAUGGUCUGCGACGGCUUCCAAAACGCCGGCGACGCUACAAACGGCGGCGCGGGCUUGUGAGCGAAAAGCAACCCCAGAGUUAAGAGGUCAGACCCGUGGCACCGGGCCAACGCACCGCCAAAAGCGGUGGCCGACCCGGAGCAAAACGGUGGAGAUGCGGAACCGUGGUCACAAACGUGUCUUCACCCGGUUCGCAAGCCGGCGUCCGCAAACGCCAGCCCAAGCGAGCCAAGAGGCCUCACUCGAUGAUUCAGCGCCGCAAGUCGCUGAACGGCCCUGCUAUGAGGCCGGCAACUCCGCUGGCCGCGGAGAAUGGCGUCGGGAAGCUGGCAGCCCCGCCAGGGCGCGCCUAAUGUCAGCGUGGGAAAGAGAGAGUGGCGAACUCC